ensembl:lncRNA
CAUAAUCGAACGGAUGGGGAAAGGGCUGUACCUUGCUCUCUAUUUUUAUUUGAUUCUAGAUAUAUCACAUUAAUCAUCUUAGGACCUUCCAUCGAAGAGGUACUGACGAGCAAACUCCGAAUAUCAAACCAAUAUCCAAACUGAAAACAAAUGUAAUGCUGCGUUAGCUGGCUCAUUAGGACGAAUGAAUGAACCGAAUCCGUUUGUCCCCUUUUUUUAAUUUAUUGUUUAUUGAAUCAAAAAUAAACACACAAUUAGACAUAAUUGAGUUCAAGAAUUGACAAGAGCAUAGAAGAUAAACAAAAAAUAAUAUGUUUCUUCCCACUCAACUCCAGCUGUCCGACAUUCGUCAUACAUUUUGGGCACCAGGCGUCCGUAUAGCCUCUCCAGAAAACAACACGCAAUCAAUUUAGAUAUUCAGGUUUGAGUUCAUGGAAGUGAUAUCUGCACUUGUUUUUAAAACACACACCUCUAUGGAUCCUUUCGAUUUCGAUACCCGGAAACAAGGAUCAUAUGUCAUCAUAGUUGUCGGGUUGCAUGUGAAAAUCAUGUCCAGCUCCUACGUUUGGAUUCCAUAAUAAUUUAUUCGGACCCUUAAUCGACAGAAGUCUUAUAGAGAGAAUUAAUCGUAUUACCGGUCGGAUUGUUGAUCACCUGAGUUGAGGAAUCUAUAGAGAAUUAUUCUACUAGUCUACUUCCGGACAGACAGGUAGAGGACGAUGGAAGACGGAGGCAGCUCCCCGCCUGAUCUGAUCAAGGACCAUGGAGAACCCAGUCAUGUUCCCCUAGCCCCUGGCAGAGGAGUGCUGUUCCCUUCAUCGCUCCUUCCUCCCUGCUCUACCCUCCUCCCACCAGUCAUCCCCCCUUCACAGGAUGACCUGUGGCAGCUACCUGGAAGACUACGUGAGUCAAACACACACACACUUGUUGGCUAACAGCUCUGUGUAUGUAUGUAUGUAUGUAUGUAUGUGUGUGUGUGUGUGUGUGUGUGUGUGUGUGUGUGUGUGUAUGUAUGUAUGUAUGUAUAGUGGGGAGAACAACUAUUUGAUACACUGCCGAUUUUGCAGGUUUUCCUACUUCUGUUCCUAGGUCUGUAAUUUUUAUCAUAGGUACACUUCAACUGUGAGAGACGGAAUCAAAAACAAAAAUCCAGAAAAUCACAUUGUAUGAUUUUUAAGUUAUUAAUUUGCAUUUUAUUGCAUGACACAAGUAUUUGAUACAUCAGAAAAGCAGAACUUAAUAUUUGGUACAGAAACCUUUGUUUGCAAUUACAGAGAUCAUAUGUUUUCUGUAGUUCUUGACCAGGUUUGCACACACUUCAGCAGGGAUUUUGGCCCACUCCUCCAUACAGACCUUCUCCAGAUCCUUCAGGUUUCGGGGCUGUCGCUGGGCAAUACGGACUUUCAGCUCCCUCCAAAGAUUUUCUAUUGGGUUCAGGUCUGGAGACUGGCUAGACCACUCCAGGACCUUGAGAUGCUUCUUACGUAGCCACUCCUUAGUUGCCUUGGCUGUGUGUUUCCGGUCGUUGUCAUGCUGGAAGACCCAGUCACGACCCAUCUUCAAUGCUCUUACUGAGGGAAGGAGGUUGUUGGCCAAGAUCUCGCGAUACAUGGCCCCAUCCAUCCUCCCCUCAAUACAGUGCAGUCGUCCAGUCCCCUUUGCAGAAAAGCAUCCCCAAAGAAUGAUGUUUCCACCUCCAUGCUUCAGUUGGGAUGGUGUUCUUGGGGUUGUACUCAUCCUUCUUCUUCCUCCAAACACGGCGAGUGGAGUUUAGUCCAAAAAGCUCUAUUUUUGUCUCAUCAGACCACAUGUCCUUCUCCCAUUCCUCCUCUGGAUCAUCCAGAUGGUCAUUGGCAAACUUCAGACGGGCCUGGACAUGCGCUGGCUUGAGCAGAGGGACCUUGCGUGCACUGCAGGAUUUUAAUCCAUGAAGGUGUAGUGUGUUACUAAUGGUUUUCUUUGAGACUGUGGUCCCAGCUCUCUUCAGGUCAUUGACCAGGUCCUGCCGUGUAGUUCUGGGCUGAUCCCUCACCUUCCUCAUGAUCAUUGAUGCCCCACGAGGUGAGAUCUUGCAUGGAGCCCCAGACCGAGGGUGAUUGACCGUCAUCUUGAACUUCUUCCAUUUUCGAAUAAUUGCGCCAACAGUUGUUGCCUUCUCACCAAGCUACUUGCCUAUUGUCCUGUAGCCCAUCCCAGCCUUGUGCAGGUCUACAAUUUUAUCCCCGAUGUCCUUACACAGCUCUCUGGUGUUGGCCAUUGUGGAGAGGUUGGAGUCUGUUUGAUUGAGGGUGUGGACAAGUGUCUUUUAUACAGGUAACGAGUUCAAACAGGUGCAGUUAAUUCAGGUAAUGAGUGGAGAACAGGAGGG